rnacentral:rRNA from 1 species
AUUGAACGCUGGCGGCAGGCCUAACACAUGCAAGUCGAACGAGUGGCGGACGGGUGAGUAAUGUCUGGGAAACUGCCUGAUGGCGGGGGAUAACUACUGGAAACUGUAGCUAAUACCGCAUACCCUCGGAUGUGCCCAGAUGGGAUUAGCUAGUAGGUGGGGUAAAGGCUCACCUAGGCGACGAUCCCUAGCUGGUCUGAGAGGAUGACCAGCCAAACUGGAACGGAGCCACGGUCCAGACUCCUACGGGAGGCAGCAGUGGGGAAUAUUGGACAAUGGGCGCAAGCCUGAUGCAGCCAUGCCGCGUGUAUGAAGAAGGCCUUCGGGUUGUAAAGUACGUUCAGCGGGGAGGCGGUACUCGAAGAAGAAGCACCGGCUAACUCCGUGCCAGCAGCCGCGGUAAUUC